rnacentral:rRNA from 2 species
UCAUUGAACGCCGACCU